CCUACGGGAGGCUGCAGUGGGGAAUAUUGCACAAUGGGGGCAACCCUGAUGCAGCGACGCCGCGUUAGCGAUGACGUAUUUCGGUAUGUAAAGCUCUAUCAGCCGUGAAGAAAAUGACGGUACCUGACUAAGAAGCCCCGGCUAACUAUGUGCCAGCAGCCGGGGUAAUACGUAGGGGGCAAGCGUUAUCCGGAUUUACUGGGUGUAAAGGGAGCGUAGACGGCUGUGCAAGCCAGAUGUGAAAGCCCGGGGCUCAACCCCGGGACUGCAUUUGGAAAUGUGUGGCUGGAGUGUCGGAGAGGCAGGCGGAAUUCCUAGUGUAGCGGUGAAAUGCGUAGAUAUUAGGAGGAACACCAGUGGCGAAGGCGGCCUGCUGGACGAUGACUGACGUUGAGGCUCGAAAGCGUGGGGAGCAAACAGGAUUAGAUACCCCUGUAGUC
rnacentral:rRNA from 1 species